ACAUAAAGGUGUUUCCACAAUGUUGCCGCAUUUGCGUUUAAUUCGAAGAUUUAUGUGGAAAAGGAGGCAAAAGGAUGUGCCGAUAUAAACAAACAAUAAUAGAAGGAAGCGGCGUGAAUGGCAGAAAAAGUUA
ensembl:ncRNA ZK682.12 ncRNA